rnacentral:rRNA from 1 species
GAUGAACGCUGGCGGCGUGCUUAACACAUGCAAGUCGAACGGAAAGGCCCAAGCUUGCUUGGGUACUCGAGUGGCGAACGGGUGAGUAACACGUGGGUGAUCUGCACUGCACUUCGGGAUAAGCCUGGGAAACUGGGUCUAAUACCGGAUAGGACGAUGGUUUGGAUGCCAUUGUGGAAAGUUUUUUCGGUGUGGGAUGAGCUCGCGGCCUAUCAGCUUGUUGGUGGGGUAAUGGCCUACCAAGGCGUCGACGGGUAGCCGGCCUGAGAGGGUGUACGGCCACAUUGGGACUGAGAUACGGCCCAGACUCCUACGGGAGGCAGCAGUGGGGAAUAUUGCACAAUGGGCGCAAGCCUGAUGCAGCGACGCCGCGUGGGGGAUGACGGCCUUCGGGUUGUAAACUCCUUUCGCUAGGGACGAAGCGUUUUUGUGACGGUACCUGGAGAAGAAGCACCGGCUAACUACGUG